GGAAAACGGUGUUGGUUUUUACUAAGCUUCAAUGAUUCGUGUUGUCAUUUUCAAAACAAGAGAAUAAUGUUUUUAAUUUCAGAACUCCUAUCCAUUAGUAGGUGACUACUUCAUCAAGUCAGCUUUUCAUUUGGAAAGAAGAACCAGAAAAUGAACCUGGCACUAGAAGAAGCCCGUGUUCCUUCCACAGCUGGGAAAAGCGAUGGGCCUCUCUAGAGCAAGAUUUACCAAAGUAUGUACCAGACUCUUGAUGCUGGAUGUGAAGGCAGAGAAACAAUUUACUGUUUUAAAACAAAGAGCCUGUUCCUCAGGAGACGUAGACUGGUAAAAUUCGUGUGAAGGCACACACUAGCUUCCUUGUCUGCAAUGCAAUCCAACUUCAGGCUUGAAGACCCAACAGUCAGAGUACUGUGUCAAGCUGAGAACCUGUGGGUUGUUGUCCUGGACUCAGCUGCUUGUCUUGCCUCAACCUCUUCAGCAAAAAAUCUCUGUCAACCAAAAUUCAAUAAUUUCCUUUUGAAAAGCAUGAAUGAUAAAAGAGAAGGGGUAGAAUUUAUACUGGAUUUCAUACUAAAAGCAACAACUGUAAGUAUCAUGAUCUGUAAUGAAUGAUCAAUGAAUUAAGAACUUCUUGCUUUUACAAAACAACCUAUGAUGAAUACCCUUUGAUGAGGAUGGUUCUAUUAUGUUAACACCUCUUUUUGUUGUGAAAAACAGCAGAAGGUUGCCCCGAUACGCCCAUGCUGCCUGACCUGAGCACUGGUGCUGCUGGCACCCAGUGCCAAAAGA
rnacentral:lncRNA from 1 species